GAUGAACGCUAGCUACAGGCUUAACACAUGCAAGUCGAGGGGCAGCAUGAAAUCAGCUUGCUGAUUUUGAUGGCGACCGGCGCACGGGUGAGUAACGCGUAUCCAACCUUCCCCUUACUCAGGAAUAGCCCGUUGAAAGACGGAUUAAUGCCUGAUGUUCUCAUGUUGCCGCAUGGCGAUAUGAGCAAAGAUUCAUCGGUAAGGGAUGGGGAUGCGUAUGAUUAGCUUGUUGGUGGGGUAACGGCCCACCAAGGCGACGAUCAGUAGCCGACCUGAGAGGGUGACCGGCCACAUUGGGACUGAGAUACGGCCCAGACUCCUACGGGAGGCAGCAGUGGGGAAUAUUGGGCAAUGGGGGAAACCCUGACCCAGCAACGCCGCGUGAAGGAAGAAGGCCUUCGGGUUGUAAACUUCUUUUACCAGGGACGAAGAACGUGACGGUACCUGGAGAAAAAGCAACGGCUAACUACGUG
rnacentral:rRNA from 1 species